AUUGAACGCUGGCGGCAGGCCUAACACAUGCAAGUCGAGCGGAUGAAGGGAGCUUACUCCUGGAUUCAGCGGCGGACGGGUGAGUAAUGCCUAGGAAUCUGCCUGGUAGUGGGGGAUAACGUCCGGAAACGGGCGCUAAUACCGCAUACGUCCUGAGGGAGAAAGUGGGGGAUCUUCGGACCUCACGCUAUCAGAUGAGCCUAGGUCGGAUUAGCUAGUUGGUGGGGUAAAGGCCUACCAAGGCGACGAUCCGUAACUGGUCUGAGAGGAUGAUCAGUCACACUGGAACUGAGACACGGUCCAGACUCCUACGGGAGGCAGCAGUGGGGAAUAUUGGACAAAGGGCGAAAGCCUGAUCCAGCCAUGCCGCGUGUGUGAAGAAGGUCUUAGGAUUGUAAAGCACUUUAAGUUGGGAGGAAGGGCAGUAAGUUAAUACCUUGCUGUUUUGACGUUACCAACAGAAUAAGCACCGGCUAACUUCGUG
rnacentral:rRNA from 1 species